rnacentral:rRNA from 1 species
GAUGAACGCUAGCGGGAGGCCUAACACAUGCAAGCCGAGCGGUAUUGUUUCUUCGGAAAUGAGAGAGCGGCGUACGGGUGCGUAACACGUGUGCAACCUGCCUUUAUCUGGGGGAUAGCCUUUCGAAAGGAAGAUUAAUACUCCAUAAUAUAUUGAACGGCAUCGUUUAAUAUUGAAAGCUCCGGCGGAUAAGGAUGGGCACGCGCCAGAUUAGCUAGUUGGUGAGGUAACGGCUCACCAAGGCGAUGAUCUUUAGGGGGCCUGAGAGGGUGAUCCCCCACACUGGUACUGAGACACGGACCAGACUCCUACGGGAGGCAGCAGUGAGGAAUAUUGGUCAAUGGGUGCAAGCCUGAACCAGCCAUCCCGCGUGAAGGACGACUGCCCUAUGGGUUGUAAACCUCUUUUGUAUAGGGAUAAACCUACCCUCGUGAGGGUAGCUGAAGGUACUAUACGAAUAAGCACCGGCUAACUCCGUGCCAGCAGCCGCAGUAACAC